AUUGAACGCUGGCGGCAGGCCUAACACAUGCAAGUCGAACGAGUGGCGGACGGGUGAGUAAUGUCUGGGAAACUGCCCGAUGGAGGGGGAUAACUACUGGAAACGGUAGCUAAUACCGCAUACAAUCGGAUGUGCCCAGAUGGGAUUAGCUAGUAGGUGGGGUAACGGCUCACCUGGGCGACGAUCCCUAGCUGGGCUGAGAGGAUGACCGGCAAACCGGGAACUGUGACACGGUCCAGAGUCCGACGGGAGGCAGCAGUGGGGAAUAUUGCACAAUGGGCGAAAGCCUGAUGCAGCCAUGCCGCGUGGAUGAAGAAGGCCUUCGGGGUGUAAAGUACUUUCAGCGAGGAGGCGUUACGCGCAGAAGAAGCACCGGCUAACUCCGUGCCAGCCGCCGCGGUAAUAC
rnacentral:rRNA from 1 species